rnacentral:rRNA from 1 species
AGAACGAACGCUGGCGGCGUGUUUAAGACAUGCAAGUCGCACGGGACAAGUUGAGUAGUAAUACGAGGUUUGUUUAGUGGCGCACGGGUGAGUAACAUGUGAAUUACAUGCCCUUCAGAGGAGAAUAACCAGCCGAAAGGCUGACUAAUACUCCAUAGUAUCGCAAGAUUAAAGGUGGCCAGCACGCAAGUGUUGGCUGUCGCUGAAGGAUUGGUUCGCACCCUAUCAGCUUGUUGGCGGGGUAAUGGCCCACCAAGGCUACGACGGGUACCUGGUCUGAGAGGACGAUCAGGCACACUGGAACUGAGACACGGUCCAGACACCUACGGGUGGCAGCAGUCGAGAAUAUCACAAUGGGGC